rnacentral:rRNA from 1 species
AUUAGAUACCCUGGGUAGUCCGCACGGUAAACGAUGGAUGCCCGCCGUUGGGUAUUUUUAUUCAGUGGCCAAGCGAAAGCGUUAAGCAUCCCACCUGGGGAGUACGCCGGCAACGGUGAAACUCAAAGGAAUUGACGGGGGCCCGCACAAGCGGAGGAACAUGUGGCUUAAUUCGAUGAUACGCGAGGAACCUUACCCGGGCUUGAAUUGCAGAUGACGGAUCCAGAGAUGGUGACUUCCUUCGGGACAUCUGUGAAGGUGCUGCAUGGUUGUCGUCAGCUCGUGCCGUGAGGUGUCGGCUUAAGUGCCAUAACGAGCGCAACCCCUUUCGUCAGUUGCCAUCGGGUAAUGCCGGGCACUCUGGCGACACUGCCGCCGCAAGGUGUGAGGAAGGUGGGGAUGACGUCAAAUCAGCACGGCCCUUACGUCCGGGGCUACACACGUGUUACAAUGGGGCAUACAGAGAGUUGGUCAUGCGCAAGCAUGAUCGGAUCAUGAAAGUGUCCCUCAGUUCGGACUGGGGUCUGCAACCCGACCCCACGAAGCUGGAUUCGCUAGUAAUCGCGCAUCAGCCAUGGCGCGGUGAAUACGUUCCCGGGCCUUGUACACACCGCCCGUCAAGCCAUGGAAGCCGGGGGUGCCUGAAGUGCGUGACCGUAAGGAGCGCCCUAAGGUAAAACCGGUGACUGGGGCUAAGUCGUAACAAGGUACC